UCUCCCGACUUGUGAAAUCCGUAGGUUUCGAAUCCAAGUCUCCUCGGUCGCCCAGACUUUGGAUUGGGCUCAGCAAGACGGGGACGAAAGCGGAGACGUGAGCGCAUCGGUCCACCGUCGCCGGUACACUGAAUCGUCCUAAGUGGUAUGGAGACAUGGCGAACCGUAGAGUCUCGAGCCGUACCCGUAAGGUUGCUACGAAGAUGGCGGCAGCUCUUACAAGCACCGACAAUCGAACCCAGGCUGCUAUAGCUAGGCUGGAGGCUUUAGAGAAUGACAAUGGAGCUCUAGAGGUGGUUGAUUUGAACGACGAUGAAAAAGCAUCUCUCGACGAAGAAGAUGAUCUCGGUUAGCCUUGGCUAUGCUCUUUGAGCAAGCUGGUACUGUUUAAAUAGCUGAGGUGAAUAUGGUUUUUUGAACCUUUCUUGGUUGCUUGCUUUUUCUACUUGUUCAAUAGCAUUGCUUCAAGGUCAUGUAUGUUCUCUGUGCAUUGGUAUUUGCAUCAAAUGGGAGUCAAAAUGAGAUAAAGUUAAGUUCGAGAGAAUUGUUGAAGUGAUUAGAAUUGUGUGAAUUGAGUUGGUAUAAGCCUCAGCGUAUGCAUUUUUGUUCACUAUGCAUUGGUUUAAGGUCUUGUGUGUUCUGUGCAUUGCAAUUUAUACUCUUUUCCCUUAGCUUCCUUUCCAAUAAUGGCUGUAUGAUGUGUCCCGCUCUCUCUUUUAUAGGGGAAUUGCUCCUGAACAAACAUUUGCUUUCCAAUAUUGCUGCAACAUACCUAACCCGCUGAGCAAGACGUCUCCCACCAAGCGCACAAUCAGGAUCAUUGAA